AUGGCUUCUCAGCCUUCUGGCUAAGAUCAAGUGUAGUAUGUUUUUAUCAGUUUAAUAUCUGAUACAUCCUCUAUCCGAGAACAAUAUAUUAAAUGGAUUUUUGAAGCAGAGAGUUGAAAUAGGAACUUGCUCUGUUCACGACCUGAUACUGCAGUACUUUCAGAAACAGUGCACUCCCC
ensembl:snRNA U2 U2 spliceosomal RNA